UUGCACUUGUCGGGGAAGGGUGAGAACCUUCGAUUAAGGUUCGACUCGAGCGAAAGCGAGAGAACGUUGCCAACGGCAACGGCCCGUAGGGUGAGGAGCGAAGCGACGAAUAAUCCUUCCCCCACCACCA
rnacentral:sRNA from 3 species